UACGAAGGGGGCUAGCGUUGCUCGGAAUUACUGGGCGUAAAGGGCGCGUAGGCGGCUGUGUUAGUCAGGCGUGAAAUUCCUGGGCUCAACCUGGGGACUGCGCUUGAUACGGCAUGGCUUGAGGAUGGAAGAGGCUCGCGGAAUUCCCAGUGUAGAGGUGAAAUUCGUAGAUAUUGGGAAGAACACCGGUGGCGAAGGCGGCGAGCUGGUCCAUUACUGACGCUGAGGCGCGACAGCGUGGGGAGCAAACAGG
rnacentral:rRNA from 1 species